rnacentral:rRNA from 1 species
GCGAACGUUAGCGGCGGGCCUAACACAUGCAAGUCGCACGAGAAAGGGGUUUCGGCCCUGAGUAAAGUGGCGGACGGGUGAGUAACACGGUGGGUAAUCUGCCUUUCAGUGGGGGAUAACUGUCCGAAAGGAUAGCUAAUACCGCAUACGUCGGCGAGGUUCACGGACCUUGUCGGGAAAGCCGGCCACUCCAUGGAAGGCUGGCGCUGGAAGAGGAGCCCGCGGGCCCAUCAGCUAGUUGGUAGGGUAACGGCCUACCAAGGCAAAGACGGGUAGCUGGUCUGAGAGGAUGAUCAAGCCACACUGGGACUGAGACACGGCCCAGACUCCUACGGGAGGCAGCAGUGGGGAAUAUUGGGCAAUGGGCGCAAGCCUGACCCAGCCACGCCGGCGUGAGUGAUGAAGGCCUUCGGGUCGUAAAGCUCUGUGGGGAGGGACGAAAAAACGCUGGCUAACAUCCAGCGGACUGACGGUACCUCCUUUAGCAAGCACCGGCUAACUUCCGUGCCAGCAGCCGCGGGUAAUACGGAGGGUGCAAACGUUGCUCGGAAUUAUUGGGCGUAAAGCGCACGUAGGCGGUCCAGCAAGUCGGGUGUGAAAGCCCCUCGGCUUAACCGGGGAAGUGGCAUUCGAAACUACUUACUGGGCUUGAGUACUGAAGAGGAUCGCGGAAUUCCCGGUGUAGAGGUGAAAUUCGUAGAUAUCGGGAGGAACACCAGUGGCGAAGGCGGCGGAUCUGGGCAGAUACUGACGCUGAUGUGCGAAAGCGUGGGGAAGCAAACAGGAUUAGAUACCCUGGUAGUCCACGCCGUAAAACGAUGAGCGCUAGUCGUCGCGGGUAUUGACCCCUGCGGCAACGAAGUUUAACGCAUUAUAAGCGCUCCGCCUGGGGAGUACGGCCGCAAGGCUAAAACUCAAAAGGAAUUGACGGGGGCCCCGCACAAGCGGUGGAGCAUGUGGUUCAAUUCGACGCAACGCGCAGAAACCUUACCUGGGUUUAAAUCCACCGGAAACCUUGCAGAGAUGUGGGUGUGCCCGCAAGGGGAGCCGGUGAGAGGGUGCUGCAUGGCUGUCGUCAGCUCCGUGUCGUGAGAUGUUGGGUUUAAGUCCCGCAACGAGCGCAACCCCUGUCUUCAGUUGCCAACGGGACAAGCCGGGCACUCUGGAGAGACUGCCGACGUUUAGUCCAGAAGGCGGGAGGAAGGUGGGGGAUGACGUCAAGUCCUCAUGGCCCUUAUGCCCAGGGCUACACACGUGCUAUACAAUGGCUGGUACAAAAGGGUUGCAAACUCGCGAGAGUAAGCCAAUCUCAAAAAAACCAGUCUCAGUUCGGAUAGAAGUCCUGCAACUCGACUUCUUGGAAAGUCGGAAAUCGCUAGUAAUCCCCGGAUCAGCACGCCGGGGUGAAUACGUUUCCCGGGCCUUGUACACACCGCCUGUUCACACCAUGGGAGUCAGUUUGCUCCAGAAGUGGGCUUGCCUAACCGAAAGGAGGGGCCGGGUGCCCUAAGGAGGUGGCUGGUAACUGGGGGU